rnacentral:tRNA from 1 species
UCCCUCUUAGCUCAGCUGGUAGAGCGCGUCACUAGUAAGCAAAUGACGAGGUCAGUCGUUCAAGUCGGCUAGAGGGAA